rnacentral:lncRNA from 1 species
UUACUGUUCAAUGACUUCACUCGGAGUCCUUGGCCUAGUUUAGAUUCCUUAUCAAAAAAAAAAGCCAUGCGCUGGGAAAAGAUUACUUUUUUUCAAACUUCGGGAUGAGGGGAGGGCAAGAGACAGAAAACAAGCUCAUGCUGUUGAACAAAUACAUGGAAGGGGACAGAGCCCGGGGCUAUUUGGAAAGCAAUAGCCCAUUCCAAGAUGUGGCAUCGGGCUGGCAUCCACACAGCUCUUAAAUUCCUUUUCUAGGGCCAGAUGGCCUUGGAAUUACACAAUUUUUAAUCUACAGCAUGAACCUCUCUAGGCUUGGGGAAAUCUUCUCGGGAUAGCCACAUUGGAUUUAUUUGCAGAGGAGACUGUCUCUUGCCCCGGGGGCCGCAUUUGACGGCAAUGGAAUCGGCCUCGUUGACGACAAGGCACCAUGAACAUAUCAAGAGCCCUUGAUCAUGAGUUCAACCACGACAGAGAACAGUUGCAGAACCCCGGUGAUCCUGUUGCCGCCAGAAUGUCAACUAAUGACCGGACAGUCGGAAGAGAGCAGCGAAUUUGUUACCGCUGACAGGAAGCAGUGAUGGAUACGAGAGACACGCAACUGUACCCUCAGGCACAGACAAAAGACUUCUAAACUCUCUUUUGUGGAGCGCGGAGAUGAAAGGGCAGAGGAAGACAGCGGCUUGUCAGGGAAGAAGCCGGUUUCCAGCAGCCAGUUAGUGUGCAGGUGUAGCAGACCAGAAGAACGACAGGUUAUCGCCGGCUCCCUGCUCGAGAGAUGAGACGCCACGCCAUCAAGUCAUGAUGUCUCAUCCCUCCUUCGACUCUCGCACCCGGCCAUCCUUUGCUUCUGACAUGACGGACGUCUUGUUAUUUACCAAUAUCAGACACCAACGGCGCCUGCUCGGAUUUAAAUAUUUAAUUUAACGCGUUGCGAAUAGGAACAUCAUGAAUAGCUCUUUGCUUGAUUAAACAAUGCCUCUGCAGUUCGAGCUUCCGAUUCUUUUCUUUUCUUUCUUUUUUAAUAUUUGUGCUCAGAUGAAAUCUAUGGCAUAUAAAGAAUGACGACAUACAUAUGCAUUCUAUGAACAACCACCCAAAAUGAAUACAGUGAUCAUAUAAAGACAAGGCAACAGUUUAUACAGACAAUGUAAGGACAUAGUAUGACCAGUACGUGAAAUAUUCUGGACAGGUUAAGUCAGUAACCUGCCUCAACCCAAUGAAAGGAAUAAGUAAUAAGUGUCUGCUGUCUAGUCUGUACACUUAUUUAAUGCAAAUGAUAUGCUGCCAACUUUGUCUUUGAUCUAUUUUUUGAGCUUUGGUCCCUUAAUUUGAGAGUAAAAAAAGAAGCUACUGUGUGCUGUUCAUCUGAUGUGGUUAUAACACCUUAACAUUUGAGGCUGUAAUUUGGCACUUUAUUGUCAUUGUUGUAAUUUAAAGACCAGUGUGCUGGAGUACAUAACCAACACAACAAAACACGUGUCAUUGUAUUUAUACUGCACGAACUGCACUGUACAAGCAAUAAUACAUAUACAUACAUUGCUA